rnacentral:rRNA from 1 species
AACGAACGCUGGCGGCGUGCCUAACACAUGCAAGUCGAACGAACUCUUCGGAGUUAGUGGCGGACGGGUGAGUAAUACAUAGAAAACAUGCCCUAAAGUGGGGAUAACAUUCCGAAAGGAGUGCUAAUACCGCAUAAUGUAUUUGGUUGGAAUACUGAAUAAGAAAGGAGUAAUUCGCUUAUGGAGUGGUCUAUGGUCGAUUAGAUAGUUGGUGGGGUAAAGGCCUACCAAGUCGAUGAUCGAUAGCUGGUCUGAGAGGACGAUCAGCCACACUGGGACUGAGACACGGUCCAGACUCCUACGGGAGGCAGCAGUGGGGAAUAUUGGACAAUGGGGGCAACCCUGAUCCAGCCAUGCGCGNGUGUGAGAAGGACGUCGU